GAUGAACGCUGGCGGCGUGCCUAAUACAUGCAAGUCGAGCGAACAGACGAGGAGCUUGCUCCUCUGACGUUAGCGGCGGACGGGUGAGUAACACGUGGAUAACCUACCUAUAAGACUGGGAUAACUUCGGGAAACCGGAGCUAAUACCGGAUAAUAUAUUGAACCGCAUGGUUCAAUAGUGAAAGACGGUUUUGCUGUCACUUAUAGAUGGAUCCGCGCCGCAUUAGCUAGUUGGUAAGGUAACGGCUUACCAAGGCAACGAUGCGUAGCCGACCUGAGAGGGUGAUCGUCCACACUGGAACUGAGACACGGUCCAGACUCCUACGGGAGGCAGCCGUAGGGAAUCUUCCGCAAUGGGCGAAAGCGUGACGGAGCAACGCCGCGUGAGUGAUGAAGGUCUUCGGAUCGUAAAACUCUGUUAUUAGGGAAGAACAAAUGUGUAAGUAACUAUGCACGUCUUGACGGUACCUAAUCAGAAAGCCACGGCUAACUACGUG
rnacentral:rRNA from 1 species